rnacentral:tRNA from 1 species
AAAGAAAUAGGUUAUUUAAAAGCUUCUAACUUUUUGUAAAGCAUUAAUUUGUUUAU